rnacentral:rRNA from 1 species
ACUCCUACGGGAGGCAGCAGUGAGGAAUUUUCCGCAAUGGGCGAAAGCCUGACGGAGCAAUGCCGCGUGGAGGAGGAAGGCCUGUGGGUCGUAAACUCCUUUUCUCAGAGAAGAAGUUCUGACGGUAUCUGAGGAAUAAGCAUCGGCUAACUCUGUGCCAGCAGCCGCGGUAAU